rnacentral:rRNA from 1 species
UACAGAGGUGGCAAGCGUUGUUCGGAAUUACUGGGCGUAAGGGGCGCGUAGGCGGCCUUCUAAGUCAGACGUGAAAUCCCCCGGCUUAACCUGGGAACUGCGUCUGAUACUGGGAGGCUAGAGUGCGGGAGAGGGAUGCGGAAUUCCAGGUGUAGCGGUGAAAUGCGUAGAUAUCUGGAGGAACACCGGUGGCGAAGGCGGCAUCCUGGACCGACACUGACGCUGAGGCGCGAAAGCUAGGGUAGCAAACGGG